rnacentral:rRNA from 1 species
GAUGAACGCUGGCGGCGUGCCUAAUACAUGCAAGUCGAGCGAACGGACGAGAAGCUUGCCUCUCUGAUGUUAGCGGCGGACGGGUGAGUAACACGUGGAUAACCUACCUAUAAGACUGGGAUAACUUCGGGAAACCGGAGCUAAUACCGGAUAAUAUUUUGAACCGCAUGGUUCAAAAGUGAAAGACGGUCUUGCUGUCACUUAUAGAUGGAUCCGCGCUGCAUUAGCUAGUUGGUAAGGUAACGGCUUACCGAGGCAACGAUGCAUAGCCGACCUGAGAGGGUGAUCGGCCACACUGGAACUGAGCCACGGUCCAGACUCCUACGGGAGGCAGCAGUAGGGAAUCUUGCGCAAUGGGCGAAAGCCUGACGGAGCAACGCCGCGUGUGUGAUGAAGGUCUUCGGAUCGUAAAGCUCUGUUAUUAGGGAGGAACAUAUGUGUAAGUAACUGUGGACAUCUUGACGGUACCUAAACAAAAAGCCCCGGCUAACUACGUG